GCAGGUGGCUGUUCCCUAUAAGAACAGGGCUCUGAGCAUUGAAGCCAACAGUUUGCUGCUAGCAGCCAAGGGGAGAACAUCACCCAGCUGGAGCUGUUGCUCACUACACCUUGGAGGUACAGGGAAGGAGCUAUGGGGAAGGUGGAGGCUCCUGGUCCUGGAGCAUAACCUAAAACUACACCCUGCUGGGCCUGGAUAGUGUGGUGGGACUGCCGGUGGCGGGGCAGCUUCCAGGAAGUGCCACAUCUAUGCCUCCCCAAUGAAGGGAGAGUAUGGGGUGCCAGAAAGCUUCAGGCCUUGCUGCUUUACAGGUGACCCCGUGAAGGGGAAAGGCUAAGGGAGCACACCCCGAAGUCAAAGCAAGAGCACAGGCUCACAGUGACUACUGAGGCAGCAUCCAGACUCACUGUAAGUACUGGGUCGCAUUUAGGAGCCGGAUGUGAGGCUCCAGGGGGUGGAGCCCUGAACCAUGAGGGAAAUGAGUGUGAAGCACCUCAGGCCAUUAUGGGGCAGGGGAUUGAAGCCCCAGUGUGGGGGCAUGAGGGGACCAGGAGGGUCCUAAGCUAGGCUAGGAGCCUGAGGAAUAGGGAGGAGCUGGGAGUCCUGAGCAAUUGAUUGAAUGAGAACCCAGUGUGAGGGCACAGAGAUUGCAAGCUCCAAUGUGAGGGCAUGGGAGUGAGAGUCCCAAUGUGAGUCAUUGGAGUGCAGGUCCCAGUGCUAGAGCAUGGGCUUAUAGGCCAGGUGUUAGACCAAACAAGCUGAGGCUGGAUGUUAGGCCAUGGAUGCCAUCUGUGAGGCAUGGGGCAGGGUAUAGGGAAGGUCCGAGCCAUGAAUAUAGGCCCUUGGCAUCGGGGCAAGUAAAUGGGCAGCAUGAGGAGCUGUUUGCAUGGACUGAGGGAUGCCCAACCUAGUAUACCAUGCUGCUGCUGCUGGGCUUGGUGUGUAUCUGGCAUGGGACCCUGAUCUUUGAUGGGGUAGCAGGCAAGCCCACACUGCCCUGCAACCUCUGCCAUCACCUGGAGGACUACCUGUGGCUGAGCUACACAUCUCUACCCACUGCAGCUGAGGAGGACAUGUCCGCAGGCAUUGACACUUUCCUCGGGUUUUACAGGUGCUUUUGUGAGAUGCUAAAAUGCAAGAAGACGCCUGCUACUUCCAGCAACAAAUGUUCUUCAAAGUCUACUCGAGCGGGCUGCACUGCCCAGAGGGCCCAGGACCACAAAAUGCUUGCUGCUGGUUUUGCAGGACAGCCUUCCUUCGAACAGCCAUCCUCAGUGCCUGAGAAUGCCAGUAUUGGCUUGCAGAACCUAGAGCCAGCCAGAAAGGACAGCCCAAGACCAAAACAUGUACUGCUACUUGUAGCUCACUACAAUGCUCAAUCAAAGGAUACAAUCACUUAACCCAUUUGAUUUGAGGGGUGGUGGUAGAAAGAAAGACAAUUGGUAACUACCAUUAGGAGCCUGAGUCCAUGAGCAAAAAUAGACACACUGCUUGCUUUUAAUCAUCACUGUACUUGCUAAAAAAACAAAACAAAACCAACCUGUUUCUUCAAGUGCUAUCAGAUGAUCAUUCUACUGAUAAGCCAUUGUUCAACUGUCCUGAAGAUCUUUCUAAACAUGGUUUUUAAAAAAGCCUCCCCUUUUAAAAAUUAGAAUGUCUUAUUAAAUAUUUUUUUAAAGAUGUACACAAUCUUUUUAAAAGAUGUGUACAAUACAAGAGACCCCCCGUAUCUUGCUAUACCAGUAAGUGUCAAGUGUUUCACCCAGAAGUGUAUCAUGAUAAAUCCUUAUUGACCCAUGCAGGGAGAAUGAGUUAAUUAUUCUCCAUUACCCUAUACAGACAACAGUUGAGAGUACACUCUUUUCAUCAAAUUUUACCUAUGUGUUUUGAAUUAUACUGUAUAUCAAAAAUCAUGACUUUUCCAUGCAAAACUACACAGAUUAUAAAGAGUUGUUUUUAAUAUCUUGAACCAUAAUCUUUAAGUCAAAAGCAUUUUUCACAGUUUAAAGUUUCCUGGACAAACUAGUAAAGGCACAAUUAAACAUUUUUUGGAUCUUAAGGAUCCUCAUUUAGGGAGACAUGCAAAUGACAGAAAUAUAAGCUACAGUAUAAAAUUAUUGUAGGGAAAUAUUUGGUAGAGAUUGUAUUGUUUGCUUAAGUAAAUUAAGCAAAGAGAUUUAAGUUUUGGAUAUACAAAUAAUAGAAACAGUCAGUAAUUGCUACCUUGUUCAUAGCAGAAUCAUAAUUGUAGAGCAUGAGCUAAAUCUUAGGGAUCAUAGUCUUGGCUCUAGAAUGGGGGAAGACUAAUCUCUGUUUUUUGGGGGGAAAUCACAGUCCUCGCCCCACUGCAGCACUGGCCACCUCUCACAGAGGCUCCAUACCACACACCUACAGCAGGGAAGCCAUGCACUGGACUCCACAGGGAAGCAGGGGGGAGAGACCAGCACAGCAGGGGGCGGGGGAGGCAGCAGGCUCCAGCACAGGGCUUCCUUCGCUGCAAGCACUGGACCUGCAGGUGUGCGGUAUGGAGCCCCAGUGAUAGAGUCAGCCAGGCAGGAUGUGUUCCCCGCCUGUGCACAGCGCUGGCCAGAGCCAUACCCCACCAGGCACGAGCCCCAUAAGGAUCUGGGCACAAGCACCCUGACCUCCCUGCCUGCUGCUGCUGCUGGCAGCGGGGUCUGCAUGACAUGGGGACAGUGUGUGGGGGGGUCCUUACACCCCCGACCCUCCCUCACAUCCACUCACCCACAACCCCUAUCAAUAUAUACAUAUGCCAGAACAUACCCUAUGCCCCCUUACAUAGCCACACCCUCUCUCAACCCCCACAUACCCCCAUGCCCCACCGUACAUACACACCCACACUCCCCCCCACAAUAUAAAAGAGUGACACCUUAUUUUUGACUUAUUAUGCAAUCCCUUCUAUAUACAGUACACAAUCGCAAGUCAUGACAAGUAUUUUUUUCAAAAAAAAUUGAAUUAUUAUGGUAGGUAUUUGACUUGUAGUAUAUGAUCUGGCUUUUUUCUGGUUCUAAGAUGGCAACUCCCCCUCCCAAAAGGUGUGUUGGGGGAGCGGGGCAGCAAGGGGAGGGACUUCUGGUGGCAAAGGUCAGGGAUUAGGGGGCAGGACUUCUGGUCCCAAUGUGGUGACCAGGGUGUGGGGCAACAGUCAAGGGGCAGGAUGCAGCUCCCAACAGCUUGCCAGAACUUAUAAAGUGGUCCUGCACCAAAAAUAAUUGCCCACCCCUUCCUGAAUUAGGAAGUGCCACAUUCCAGCCUCUCUCUUACUCAUCUGCCUGGAGGAUCUUCUGCUUCCUCUGGCCAAUGAGGCCAAAGGGUUUUACAUAUUUUUCCUAGAUACACGCCCCAGCUUCCCAUGUGUUGAGCACAUGGACAGAACAACAGAGGCUAUCUUGCCCACAUAAAAACACACAGACACCAAAAAACCCGCCACCAUACACAACCAAAACCAUACGCUUUACCAUAUACAACCCAAGUGUGUGUGUGGGUGUUACAAAUAGGUAACAAAUAUGCACACUCUCUCACUUGUGCAGAAGUCCAGAAACCUUUCCAGACAGGACACUCAAGAACAGAGUAUUCAAGCCACCUGCAUGGAGAUCCAUGAUAAACAUGGAUGUCUCAGCCAGUGGAAUGACCCAAGUCAGUGACUGGUUGCUGCUCUGUGCAUUAGAGAUGUGUAUCUCUGAUGAACAAAACAUCCUAUAAGACCCAUUUUACUUCAAAGAUCUCUCAGAUGAGUACUCAUGCCUUGUGACAAAUACUAAUAUUCCAGUAUCAGCUAUGUAGCUACAAGCUACUUGAUAACCUUUUGACUCUAUACAUCAAGAGUUCAGUACACAAUGAAUUAGAACUGCCAUUAGAAUUUCUGUUCUAUGAACAAUGAAACCAGUAGAGUGUCUUGUGCUUUCAAAUUACAGCCUGUUUAAUCUGCUCUUUCAAAUUACAGCCUGUUUAAUCUGUUUUUAUUAUUAAAUAGAGCAAGUGCUUAUCUGAAAUAAGAGAAGGCAAAAUAAAAUGAAUACCUAUGUAACCCUUCUGCUACACAGAGGACAGCAGUAGUGGAGGAUCAAAUUUGGACAUUAUACACGCGCUUUUUAUUUUGACUUGAGCACCCACCCAGAACACAGGGAAAAUAAAUGCUAAUAAAUAUUAAAUGUUAA